rnacentral:rRNA from 1 species
ACAUGCUUACAACAUAGCACUAAUGCAUUAGAUCCUAUUAGAAAUCCAUAGUUAAGCACACUCAUGAUAGAAUAAUACUAGGAUGGGUGAUCGCUUGGGAAUUCCUAGUAUUUUACAUGCC